UUCAACCUUUCCUCAACUCUAUGAUUCUACUAUUACCAGACUGUUCUCAGCCUCAUGAAGCUAUUCCUUAGGUUCGCAUUCAUCGGCUGGAAUUAUCUUCAUAAUUUUUUCCAAUUUUUGAUCUCCUGGUCAAAAAAAAAAAAAAGGUAAGAAAAUGGUAAGAAAAAAUUAAAAAUUAAAAUUAAAAGUGGUAAGAAAAAUAUUCAAAAUGAAUGGAUUGCCUUCAAAGGAACAAUCAUUUUUAAGAGAAAAACUUUUAAAUAGAUAAUAUUACCCAUCUCUUACUAGUGAAGUGUUAUUCCACUUCUGUUUCCUGAGGAAACAAGGUCUUCCUGGUGCUCCCAACAUGUGCCAUGGGACUCACUGGGACCAGCUCUCUCCCUACAGUCAGAGUUCAAGGUGCUGACUAGUCUUAUUCCAUAAGAGACUCCAGAUCAUUUCUGGGUUUAACACGGAUUUAGCUUGAGUGGCGCAGUUGUGGAGUCAGCUGUCAAUGUCAGUAUGAAUAGAAAGAUCUAUCUGUUAAUGCCAUUACCUGCCCCUCUGGAUGUUGGCCCUCUGCUUUCCUAGGUGCUGUACAAAGACAACAAAUGAACCAUUUCCAUCCCAGCUCUUGGUCAUAUCAACUCUUGGUCAGGCACUGGAACAGGCUGCCCAGGGAAGUGGUUGAGUCAUCGUCCCUGGAGGUGUUCAAGAGAUGUUGAAAUGCUGGACUAGUGGACGUGGUUUAGUGUGAAAAUAUUGGUGGUAUGUGGACAGUUGAACUAGAUGAUCUUGGAGGUCUUUUCCAACCUUGGUGAUUCUAUGAUUCUAUGACUCUCUAGCUAGGGUAAAGACACCAAGCCUGCAGAGGGCUUGUUUUCUUCUGAAUUUGCUGUGGGCACUGAGGUGAGAUGGUUGGGGCUGUAAUUUCUCUCCCAUUUCCUUUUCUCCUCUCGCUUCUAUCUUGUUUAGUGGGCAUGGUGGGGAUGGGUUGAUGGUUGGGCAAGAUGAUCUUAGUGGUCAUUUCCAACCUUAAUGAUUCUAUGAUUCUGUAAUGGAGACCAACCAAUGUUGGCCAAGACCCCAGCUGUCACCUGCCCUCCUGAUGGUGGCAGCAGUGACAUUGCUCUAUGUUUGAGAAGCACUCGCCCAGACUUCUGCCAUGGACUGGAUUGGCAUUCGCUGGGUCGGGAACUGGGUAUUCUCUUUAUCCUUCGUACUUAGAUAACCAUUAUCUCAAAGCACAAUGCAGACUUCAUGAGUGUGCACAGAUUGCUCAGAAUUUACUGCAUGGACUCAUGAAGAAAACAGCUCUUCUUCUCAGAGGGUGGUACCUGUUUGUCACAACAUUUGUGAUAUACAUUCCGUCCGCCACAUCCCAUUUUGCCUUCAGAAGUAAGGCAGCUUCCCUCUGAUGCAGAAACGCACCACAAUUUUCCUAUUUGUCUUUUCUUUUUUCAAACUUGUUUAAGUCUCUAGGAGCCAGUCUUGGCCAUUUAGUUACAAAAUGUGUGCGUGCGUGUGUGUGUUUCCAGUGAGUGAAAAGAAGGGAAAAAACCCACAGGUUUGAGUUUGUACAAUGUUUGCCCCUUUUCCCAGCAGGGAUGGGUUUUGAGAGCCAGGAGACAAAAAGCAUGGCCUCAACAAGCUGAAUUUAAAAAAGAACAUCAUUUUCAUUAUGUAGUCAAUCUCAAUUACAAGCAAAUGUUUUCUCUGUUGAGACUUUUCUCUUUUCAGAGCAUUAUGCAAGCCUCUUUUGUGGGUUGAGAGAAAGGAUCAGUGGUCAAUAGGGAGCAGAGUGUUGUGUACAGUGGAUUUUUGUAUCCUUUAGUCUACUACAUAAUGCGUUUUGUCAGGAGAACAGCCCAACAUCCUGAGCAGAUUUGCUGAAUUAAAGAGCACAGCAGGGAUAGGAAACUUGUUGCUAGGUGACUGACAACUGCUGCAUGUCAGUAUCUCUGCGCCGGAGGUUACUCUUUCCUUUUCUUCCACUCUUCAGUCUUGCCUUUUAAUCUGCAUCUAUAAUUAACUCUCUUAAUACUGCGGAUCCAUUUGUUUCCCUUUGACCGUGCUUCGGAUGGCUCUAUUGCCAUUAUUUCGUCUCGAACAGAGGGAAAACUAUUUAAUUUUUGUGCUUGGCUUGGCGCGGAGAAGUUGGGGGUUUAUGCGGUGCAAUGUCUCAUGUCUGCGCUGCGAUGAGACGGCUCUUAAAAGACAUUUCAGAAGAUAUGGUCUUUGCUAAUCUCAGUGCUCAGUGAAACAUCCCUGUGUUGACCGUUCCCUCUAAAGCCUGUUUGUUUCAGUUCAACUUCAUUGAAACGCGAUUGUUUUUAACUGUUUAGGCUUGGUGACCUUCCAAGCUCUUACACUUGUGUAUUUUGCAAAAUAGAUUUUCUUUGUAUGAGGCUCUUUCUUAAAUGACUGGAAACCCAGGGCUGCAUCUGGCCUAGAUUUGUAGUGGCAGAAGUCAAUUAAGCGACAGUGUUCUCCCCGCUCAUUUUUGCUGUUAUUUUUUUUUGUGCACAGACCAAACCAUGAAGCUUGGCGUUGUUAUGAGGAUGGAUGUGCGCUGAAGAAUCGCAUCGCUGGUUUGCAUCCAUCCGUCCCUCUGGAAAUGUGUUUAAUUACAGUUUUCAUUCAUAGAAUCAUAGAAUGGCUUAGGUUGGAAGGGACCUUCAAGAUCAUCAGGCUCCAACCCCCUGCAUUCCAAGAGGUUACGCAAAAUCCAUGCGAUUAGCAAAUGCACUCAUUGCAGGAGUAUGACCAUGACCAUUUGCUUGUUGUUUUUUAUUAGAAAAUGACUAGAAGAUGUACAUCAACUUUUAUUCCAUGUGCUCUUUAAAAUAACACUUUUUUUCUGCAUUAUACCUGUGUGACAUAUGUGAAAGCUGAAUUCAGAAGUUUGAACGAGUUAAAGCAGCGAUGAAAGCUCUUAUUUUUUCUUGGGGGUUUGUAACAAGGCUACAAUCAUGGAAAAGCAUCAACCUGGGACAGUGUGCUGAAAAUUAGAUGGCAAUUUAAGAAGAAUAGCCAAAUAGAUGUGAGAAGUGCUGCUGGUGAAAACAGACAGCAGUUGUUGCUUCUAGGGGACUAGCACCUGUUCAGCCCAAAAAUGCUGAACUUGGGGAAUUUAAAGAAAGAAUAAUCCCAAAACUAACUAAGUAGCAGAGACAUAUUCACCCAUAACUGUGCUGUGUUGUUUUUCUCCUUCCUGCUAGCAAAGAACAAAACCCUGCCUGGAGGAACGCAUCUCUGAACUGGAGGAGAAGGAGAGGAAAAUUUACAGGUUCCUGUGUCUGGAGCAGCACACGCAGUAAUUCGUAGGGCCAGGAGAGGGCAAUAGACACAGGCAUGGGGAGGUGUUGGUGAAGGGUCAUGGAAAAUUCUGCAGGGGAUGAUCCAGAAGCACGGAGAACCAACAAAUGACCAACUCAAAUGAGUUGAACCCAGGGCUGUCCAACCUAACCAAGGUGUGUCCAUCUUAUUUGCUUUCUUAUCAGCUUCUUGGGAGCUAUAAGAAGAGAUAAAGGCCUUAUUUUACAGCAGUUUGAAAUAGAAUUGCAGCAAUUCCAUCUUUCUCUUGUGUAAACAGAAGCCUGUGCUGAUCCUGAAUGAAACAAUUUUGCCUUAUGCUCUUCAACUUUGAGAACAGUUUGCUCUCUAGGCUUUGUACAAGUCUCGUGUGCUGGGACAGGCAUAGAGAUCUGGCACAGCUGUGGGUGCCCCAUCCCUGGAGGUGCCUGAGGGCAGCUUGAAUGAUGCCCUGGGCAGCCUGUUCUGGUCAGGGGCAACCAGUUGAUGGCAGAGCAGUUGGAACUAGAUGAUCUUUAAGGUUCCUUUCAACCCAAGACAUUCUAUGAUUCUAUUCUAUGGUCUGAGGCAGACUGGAGUGAGAUAUAGGGUCUAAAAUGUAGGACGUCAUUAUAACCUUGUAAUUGUGUGUUGUAGAGACAUUGUUUUGUUGCACUGAUCUUCAGCAUGUCCUAAUUUCUUACAGCAGUAUUUCACCCACAUUUGUGCUGAUUUUGACCAAGUAAAGCAACAUUACUCCUUUCAUGUGAUGCUAUGGAUUAAGUCUCUCUCUUUGUAUGAGGGAAAUAGUCUCUUUGAAGCCACCUGGAAAAGGUAAGCUGCAUUGACUCUACUACCUGGAGGACUGACUGGGCUUUCAAACAUUAGUUUUUGUAGUUUUCAUAGUCACUGAUUGAUUCUGCAAACUUGAUGAUUAAUUUAUAAGCUGCCAGUGACAGGGUUAAGCCCUUGGCAGUCCCCCAGCCUCAAGUUCAUGCUACAUGCACAGGAGCAGGUUCUUGUCUUUUUCUCCCUGACCUGUGAGGGUGAUGGGUGCACUAGUGUUAAGGCAAAGCAGGAAAAGCAGAAACUUCCUGCUAAGUAACUACAAGGCUGUCAUUUUCUGGAGUGCAAGCUCUAACCCCAGAGAAAGCCACAGCUGCAUCACGGAGACCCUUCAUGCUUACCUUCACCACAUCCUGCAGAGGUGCAUUACCAAAGGAAAACAGGCACAAGAGCCUCAUAUGACACCUUUUCUCCCACAUAUCCUCACCUUGGAAGAUGAAAGAAGAUGUUGGGAGAGGAAAAGACAACAUGGACAAGAGAAGAAAAUGGUAGACAGAGGUGACUAGGUGCCUUGGCCUCUCAUCCCCCACUGAUCACUCUCUGGACACAAAAUUUGCACUGCGUGGGGCUGUUUUCCCAAGCGUUACACAUAAAACCUAUAGUCCUACUGACUGUAUCUGUGUUGUCUUGCAGAAGAAAUGGAAUGGAUGAAGCAAGGAGAUCAUGAGAGAAAUAGGAGAUACCUUUCAAAGCCAAAUCUUCUUCAGGAGAGAAGCUCUGGCCGAGCAAUGCCAUGCCAUGAAGUAUGGGCACGUGAAGCAGAACAGUAAGACUGCACCUUCAGCUACUCUGAAGUGAUACCUGCGUACCUGCUGCCCUCCUCUAAGAAGCCUGGUCAGGCUGGAUGGGAGCUGAUGGAACCUGAUGGAGCUGUGGGUGUCCCUGUUCAUUGUGGGGAGUUUGGACCAGAUGACCUUUCAGGACCUCUUCCAACUCAAACAGUUCUAUGAUUCUAUGAUUCCUUGGGUCCAUGGCAUUUCUUGUCCAACCUCUGAAGAACGUGAUGCUCCCUAUUGUGCUCAGCCACCCUGGUUUUAGGCAACAGGCAGAUGCAUGCAGCACAAAUGGUAUUAAUGGGAGCCAUGCGUACAUGUCUCUGAGAGCAGAAUACAGCCUUUGGAUCGUGCUGCUUAGCAAACUCUUACAUAAGGAUUUAACCAUGAGACAUGAGCCAAUGACUGAGGCAAAUUGUGUGGGAUGUGUCUGGGCUUUUGCAAGCCAUGGCUCUUCAGUGAGGUUAGCAAAUGCCUAAAUGGUCCGCACUGGUGUUCCAGCUCAUUGCAUGAGAGCUUCUGAUAAUUGCAGUCAUUGCUUUCUCUUUACUGCCAGAUAAAAGGGCAACCAACAGGACGUACAAAGACCUCUUCCACCUCCUUGCUUUCGUGCUUUGUUAUUUCAUUAUCCUCUGUGAUUAUAUAUCCAUGGAUAACAGGAUAAUGACAGAAUCAUCCUAGAAUGAUCUACGUUGGGAAUGACCUUCAAGACCAUUAAGUGCAACCAUCAACCUGACCUACCAAGAAAAACAUCACAUCCUGAUGGAGAGGCCUGGGAAUCCUCAGCACAAGCCAGUUACUCCUAACUACCUUGCUGCAGUGAGGUCAGUUGACAGCUCAGGCAACAAUUUUCAUUGCAGUGGAGUCCAGGCCAGGACUAUGGGAUUUCUGGUGGAGCUGAUGAAAUCAGCACGUCAUGCAAAACUACUCCAUCUGAAAGUCCAGAAGCCACUAAUGAAGAAUUCUUACCCAAGCACCCAUAUCCUCACUCUUCUUUAUUUACCUCCUACACCCCCUGGAGCUUGAGAUGAGCAAGAAUAUGCCAACAGCUGGCAGUUCUCAGCUUAGGUCUUCAACAUCUAGAGUCAGUGCCUAGCUCCAAAUCCCAAAGUGCUUCUCUGUUUGACUGCUCUUUGGAGCUAAUUCUGACCAUUUUCAAGAGUCUUAAGGGACUUUUUCCGUCAUUAUUGCCAAAUGUGGAUUAUGGGCUGCUUUAUUCCAGCCUCUUCUGAAACAUCCUCAUGUGGGUGGAUUUUCACACGACUUAUGUUGGUGCUUCUGCUUUCACAUAAUGGGUGAUUUAUCAUACAGUCAAAGUUAAAUCAGUGACAUACUUGGAGUAAGAAGGAAUUUUUGCCAUUGAUCUGAUGCACGCAUGCCAAUAAUUUUUGCUUUUACCCAUAGUUUGGGGGUAAAAUCUUCCCAGUGCCAACCAAGUUUGCACAGAAACACACUGAAGGUAUUAAUUCAGCGCACUGAAGGUGCCAGAUUUGCUAUUCAUGUCAGAGACUGUGUGAUGCAGAGGCCAGAAAUGAUGACACAUGGGGACUCAUGUGUGCUGUGCUGUGAAUCCCUGAGCCUCUCUCAGCAGGGCUGCGCAGUGGUGAAAUCAGGAACCUUCCUCAAGUCUUUGUCCCUGUCUAUCUACAAAUUCUUCUAAAGAAUAAGAAUGCAAACAUGCAUGUUUCUGCCCACUGUUUGGUCUUGUCUCUUCACCCCAUGGAUUCAGGCAUUGCUUUUUUCACACUCAACCUAAACUCUCCUAAAUUUUGCAGCAAUUUGUCGCAUAUUUCUUUUAUAAGGCAAUUUUCUGUAUUUUCUUAAAUCAGAUAACUGUAUAUAUUUUGUUUUCAGAGUGAAUAUGAAUUUCAUUAUACUUUGAUUAUUGUUUAAUAGCACUGGGGACAGGAUGUUUGGAGGCAGUCUGAAUUUUGAUUCAAAACGUCAGGUCGUUUUCUGAAUAGCUCCUUCAACUGAAGACCUUUCCCAUCAGCUCUUUCAUAAAGAGAAAGGAGACAAAUGGGAAGAUGAGCUGACUAGGAAAGAAAGAGAUAUUCCUUCCCUUGACCUAGAAGCCUGACAGGACUCUUUUUCAAUGCAGUGUAUUAUGUAGUGGUUUUCACUAUUAUGCAUAUAUUUAGCAACCAUCGCUCACCAAUCUGCAAAGGGAAUGAGGUGAUGAAAGAUGGAAUUCAAGAGAGGAAAGAAACACAGAUGUUUUAUCUCUGCUUUUAUACUGCAAAGACUGUACUGGAAUAUACACAAGAAUAUAUCCCCAUUGUAAUUUGGGAUGCUGUAGCUUUUAAUACCUUUGGCAUCUCUCUGUUAAUAUACUUCCUGGUGACAUUUCUGAACAAAAAGACCACUUCAAACUGCUGCCAGGACCAAUCAAAAAGCAGCUGCAAUUACAAGCAGAGGCAAAAAGAUGCACCAUGGUGCAAUGAGGAAUGUAGGGCCUAUCUGAGAACAUAGACCAACCCAGUCCUCAUCCUCCAGCUUGAGAGCAUGUACUGAGAAAGAUAUCCAUGAACUGGAUUUUGAGCAUCUUUUAAGGCAAGUUAUUUCUGCUGAGGUCCUACUCUGCACACAGUACGCAUCCUGACUUGCAAAUAAUUUUCACCUGUAAAUUUUGGCAUCUUGAGUGCUUGGUACCUGCUAGUGUGUAGAUUCCCUAUUUUAAAGACCUGCUGGGGGAAGGUACCUAUAAAUGCUGAUGUGUCAUCAGGUACUCUGAGCAUUCUUUGUUUCCUUGCCAUUAUCCCCUGGCAGAUUAUCCAUGUCUUUUGGACUCCGUAAGGACAAAAGAAGACAAGGGAACUUUGAUUCCAGAAGAAGAAAUAAAACCCUGAAUCAGGGCACCAAGGUAAGCAACAGAAGGAAGUGCACAUUUGAAAGGCAGAGUCGCAUGAGACAGGAGAUAAAAAGAGAAGGGUAUGAGGGUAAUUGGAAGACCUUAUGCUUAUAGUUGAUGUAUGUUUAUAAACUAGGACAGUCCAUCUGAGUAAACAGACAAGCUAAGAAGACAUAGAGCCAAGAGAAGAUAUAAUAUUCAAUAUACAAUAUAUUUACUUAAUACAUGGUUGGUGAGGCAUCUCAGAGCAGAUCUCAAUUCCUUCAUAUGUUCAGAUAUUUGGUGUUAUUUUUGAGGUUUAUUGUGAUGUCUUUGUUUCACCUCCCAUCUGGUCAAAGGCAGCUCACUGUGAGUACUGGGUGCUUGUUACUGGAGGAUUAUUCACUGGAUGAAACUGAGCAUACUGUGAGUGUUCAGUCAUUGGUCAUCAUCCCUCUUCUUCAGUCCUGACCUGCUGGAGUCCUUCUGCAAUUGCAGCACAAGUCCGUAGGAAAGAGACCUUGAAAUAGUUUCUGUGGGCAUGGAAGACCUGGUACAGAGUGCAAAUGCAGAGCCGGUGACCAAACACAAGAGUUAGCCUUCAAACAAGAAAACUCAGAGAAGAACUCAAGUAGGGCCACUUGAAAUGUCAGCAUUAUAUAUAUAUGCUUUACAUAUAUAUAUAUAUAUAUCCCUCUUCAUUAUUUUCAGCACUGCACGUGUCACAGCAGCUGAACAUUUUGGUGAUGCACUGGCACCGGCUGCCCAGGGAGUGGUAGAGUCACUGUUUCUGGAGGUGUUCAAGAACUGUGGAGAUGUGGCACCAAGGGACACAGUUGGUGGGCAUGGUUGGAACGGGCUGACGUCACAGAUCUUAGAGAUCUUUUCCAACCUUGGUGAUUCUAUGGUUCUGUGAUUCUAUUUCUGUGAAUGCUUCCAUCAACGGAAUAAACCAAGUACUUAUCAGGUGCUCACUAUGGAUUUUCUCUUCAUUCUUGCAAUGCUCAGCCAUGGAGGGGAGAGUAAAAGCCUCCAGUUCAUGGAGAGUCUGCACUGGUACCAGGCUUCCCUACAUCCACAUUGCUUCGGGAAGGAAGAGCCUGACACUGAAGUGAGCACACAGGAGGAAACGUGUUGCUGUUACUUUGUGCACAUGAGCCCGUGCUUGCACAUUUUCUGCUUACAGAGAUAACUCUUGCUGCUUGUGAAUGCUUCUGCAGUCAGGGCGAAUGAGUGGCACUUACACCACGCUGUGGGCAAGAGGAACAGAGCUGGAACGCAGUUUGUCCUUGCUUUCCAAGGCUUUGAGAAAGUAUCAGCAAAUAACACAAGCAGACUCGGGUUAUUAUGAAUUUAUUUCACGUCGUGCACUUAUUUUGUAAUAUAACAAAUCGUAUAAGCACUUUAGGAGAGCUCUGUCAAUCAGCUUGUUGAAAUCAGCUGGUAGCAGCUAUGAGCAUCCCGAAGCUGCCUCCCUGCAGGUCGCUGUGCGUUCCAUCCCUCCAUUGCUGGAGAACAGGUGAUGGCAGCACAUGAUCCUGUAUUUUUCAUACACGCCGUGCACAUCUGUGUCACGCUGUGUAUAACGUAAUACAAAUGGAAUUGACAGGGAUUAAGGUUUUGUUUCUGCUCCCACUAAUAAAUGCCACAAUCCCCCCCGACUUUGCUGAAACAGAGUCAGGCCUGAAAUGACCCACCACUGCCAUUUGCAAGGAUCCUCCCAAACACAAGAUGCUUCGGGUACGACACACAGAACCAUAUGGAUGACCUUCUUUCUGCCUCCCACAACAGCUGCCAGAAGCUGUAACGCUGACUCCAGUAGUGACAACAAAAAUAAGCCCAGAAGAGAGGGUAUUUACCACAGGAAAAAUAAGGCCAGCUUCCCAGGCCACUCACCUGGCCAAAUGCUGUUGGCUGCUAUGCCUUGAUGGCUUGCACACACACCGCCGUGCAAGGAUAUAAUGAGCCAUGCUGGAUGCCAGCCUGCCUACUGCUCUGCCCUGUGCAGCUGUGCCACGGAGCUCCCCUGCUCCUCCCCAACCCAGAUCCGGGAGCUCUGGAGCAUGCAGACAUUGGUUAAUAUUACAUACAGCCCUACACACGGUCUGGGGGUAAGAAGGAAUUAAUGCAUUGUAUCUGUGCACUAAUCGCCAGUCUUUGUUUGAUAUCAAAGAUUUUAUCGUGACUUCUAUGAUUCUGUGACUUGCUGUUUGCCUCCCUUCCCCUCAACAGAUUUGCUCUUUCAUCAUCUUUCUCAGCUGACAUACACUGGGAAGGACAUUCAGCACUUUGAAAGCUGCUGUUUUUCAGGUUUUAUAAAUUUCUCCCAGCUGAAGUUCUCGAUGACAACUCUGCUCAGAGCGUGGCUUGUCAGUAGCACUGCUCUAGUGGAAAUGGCCCAGUUGGAAUGUGGUGAGCGAUGCCUUCCUGAGACAUCCUAACAAAACCCAGCCAGAGAGAGGAACUCUGAUUUAUUCCCUAAAACCAUAAUUUCCAAAGGCUGAGUAUUUCUUUUAAGGACUUUUCCCCCUCUGCAAAUGCUACGAAACAAGCAGAGGGGGAGAAAAAUCUGAAAAAAAUAAUUUUUUUUGGCUGAUAUUUUCUUUUAAAUGAGCCCUACAUGCUCAGUGGAGCAGAGUGACUGGUACUGAGAUCCUAAGCAGCCUUAACCCCCAUUGGCUCCGGAGGAAACCAACGUGCUCAGCACUGGUGGGAAGCACUCAGCAUUUAUGAUCCAGCCCACCACCGUCUGCUCAGCCUUUUUAAACUGUAAAACAUUUAAAGG